rnacentral:rRNA from 1 species
CCUACGGGAGGCAGCAGUGAGGACUAUUGGUCAAUGGCCGAGAGGCUGAACCAGCCAAGUCGCGUGAGGGAAGAAUGUCCUAUGGAUUGUAAACCUCUUUUGUCAGGGAGCAAAGUCACCCACGUGUGGGUGUUGGAGAGUACCUGAAGAAACAGCAUCGGCUAACUCCGUGCCAGCAGCCGCGGUAAUACGGAGGAUGCGAGCGUUCUCCGGAUUUAUUGGGUUUAAGGGGGGCGUAGGCGGAUUAUCACGUCAGCGGGAAAAUCGUGGAGCGCAAAUCCAGCCAGCCGUUGAAACUGAGGAUCUUGAGUGGGCGAUAAGUAUGCGGAAUGCGUGGUGUAGCUGUGAAAUGCAUAGAUAUCACGCAGAACUCCGAUUGCGAAGGCAGCAUACCGGCGCCCGACUGACGCUGAAGCACGAAAGCGUGGGUAUCGAACAGGAUUAGAUACCCCGGUAGUC